rnacentral:misc_RNA from 1 species
GAAAUGCGAUAAGUAAUGUGAAUUGCAGAAUUCAGUGAAUCAUCGAAUCUUUGAACGCACCUUGCGCUCCUUGGUAUUCCGAGGAGCAUGCCUGUUUGAGUGUCAUUAAAUUCUCAACUAUUAUCAGCUUUUGUUGAUGAUGGCUUGGAUAUGGGGGUUUAUUUUGCUGGCUUCACAGAAUGUCAGCUCCCCUUAAAUGCAUUAGCCGGUGCCCCGCGUGGACUGUCUAUUGGUGUGAUAAUUAUCUACGCCGUGGACAUCUACAAUCAUAUGGGUUUGCGCUGCUUCCAACCGUCUGUUUACUCAGACAAUACAUGACAAUUUGACCUCAAAUCAGGUAGGACUACCCGCUGAACUUAA